GAUGAACGCUGGCGGCGUGCCUGAUACAUGCAAGUCGAACGGACCAGCAACCGGCGACUGGCUAAUGGCUUCGGCCUGCAGCCAAGAGCCCUGCUGGUUAGUGGCGGACGGGUGAGUAACACGUAGGUGACCUGCCCCGAAGUGGGGGACAACUACUGGAAACGGUAGCUAAUACCCCAUGUGAUCCGUCAUUCGGUUGGCGGAUUAAAGCUCCGGCGCUUCGGGAUGGGCCUGCGGCCGAUUAGCUAGUUGGUAGGGUAAUGGCCUACCAAGGCGAUGAUCGGUAGCUGGUCUGAGAGGAUGGUCAGCCACACUGGCACUGAGAUACGGGCCAGACUCCUACGGGAGGCAGCAGUAAGGGAUAUUGCGCAAUGGGGGAAACCCUGACGCAGCAACGCCGCGUGGGCGAUGAAGGUCUUCGGAUUGUAAAGCCCUUUUAUGGGGGAUGAGAAAGGACAGUACCUCAGGAAUAAGUCUCGGCUAACUACGUGCCAGCAGCCGCGGUAAAACGUAGGAGGCAAGCGUUAUCCGGAUUUAUUGGGCGUAAAGGGCGUCUAGGCGGUGUCUUAAGUUGGGCGUGAAAUCUCCCGGCUCAACUGGGAGGGGCCGUUCAAUACUGAGACACUUGAGGGCAGGAGAGGAAAGUGGAAUUCCCGGUGUAGUGGUGGAAUACUUAGAUAUCGGGAGGAACACCAGUGGCGAAGGCGGCUUUCUGGCCUGCACCUGACGCUGAAGCGCGAAAGCGUGGGUAGCGAACGGGAUUAGAUACCCCGGUAGUCCACGCCGUAAACGAUGGAUACUAGGUGUUGGUGGUAUUGACCCCAUCAGUGCCGUAGUUAACGCGUUAAGUAUCCCGCCUGGGGACUACGGCCGCAAGGCUA
rnacentral:rRNA from 1 species